rnacentral:rRNA from 1 species
AAAUUGAAGAGUUUGAUCAUGGCUCAGGUUGAACGCUGGCGGCAGGCCUAACACAUGCAAGUCGAACGGUAACAGGAAGCAGCUUGCUGCUUCGCUGACGAGUGGCGGACGGGUGAGUAAUGUCUGGGAAACUGCCUGAUGGAGGGGGAUAACUACUGGAAACGGUAGCUAAUACCGCAUAACGUCGCAAGACCAAAG